rnacentral:lncRNA from 1 species
CUUCUCAUAACUACUGCAAAUUUUUAAUCUUAUGAUACUCUCAGCAUAUAGGUUCAAAUUCUGGGUUCAAUAAAAUAUAUUUUUUUUAAAACAGCAGCUAGUGGUCAGACUGGGAAAAUAAUAUCCAAUAUUCUUUAUGGCUUUGUUAAUACACCUUCUUGUCAAAUAAUUGGCAUGUACCUCAUAUAUCAAGAUUACAUUUCUGUAGAAAAUAGAAUAAUGAAAAAUCAAACAUGAUUUUACAUCCUCUCUCAAGUAGAAGUUGACAAACUUCCAGAUGUCCUUUCUCUUCAGCAGAUUGAGAAGGUAAUAUCUUACAUUUUGUUGGGCAUUUUUGUUACAACC